UCUGCAAACAAAUAACAAAUAAAAGAAAAGAAAAUCGAAUUCUCCCCCUCAACCCACGUUAGAAAAGCCGCCCUCUCUCCCCUAAAUCUCUCCCAUAUCUUUUAACCACUUCCCUCUAUAUUAACCACUUCACAAAUUCAUUCUUUCUCAUACCGUUCUCUGCAGCAAGAAACCAAGACAGAUUCUUAACAACUUCAAUUCAAGAAACCGAGAACCCAACUCGACAGGGGAAAUUACCAUGUAUUCGCUCAAAAUCUGUUCAAGGGCACCGACGCUGACCGAACCCAACGGCGAAGGCAAACUGACCGCAGCCUGCGGUGACGACGGCAGCGGCGCCGUGGCGACGAAUGCAGCAGAGGCUGACCGACGGGAGGCUGCAGACGACGGCAGUUUUGGACGCGCGACAGCGCCGACAGGACCGUGGCGACCGCAAUUUGUCUUCCCGGUGAGCAGCGGCCGGCGACGGUGGAAGGCGACGGUGAAUCGGAGAAUCGACGGUUUCUGUUUUGGGGCUUUCUCUUUAAUUGGGAGUUUUCGUUUUCUUGUGAGAAAAAUCGAGAGAGAUGGAGGUGAAUUUGGAACUUCGUUUUGUUAGUAGCUGCAAUUUGUGGGAGAAUACAGUAGAGAGAGAGGGGGGAGGGAAGCCGACGUUUUGUUUAGAGAAUGAGAGUAUUAAUAUGUUUUGUUACUUUUGCAGUAAGGUUUACUUAAUUUUUGUUUGUGUAUGUUGGGGAGGGAGUAUACGUGACAAAAAAAGGCAGUAUAUUUUUUUUAUUUUUUCUUUGGGCCUGCUCUUUUAUUUUUUAAAAGCAAUUGGGCCACAUUAAUAAAUUAGAUGUUUUGUUA